rnacentral:rRNA from 1 species
AGAGUUUGAUCCUGGCUCAGAACGAACGCUGGCGGCAGGCUUAACACAUGCAAGUUGAACGGGAUUUGUAUGGUGCUUGCACCAUGUAAUGAGAGUAGCGCACUGGUGAGUAACACGUGGGAACAUACCUUGAAGUGGGGGACAACAGUUGGAAACGACUGCUAAUACCGCAUAAUCCCUGAGGGGGAAAGAUUUAUCGCUUUAAGAUUGGCCCGCGGAAGAUUAGGUAGUUGGUGGGGUAAAGGCCUACCAAGCCGACGAUCUAUAGCUGGUCUGAGAGGACGAACAGCCACAUUGGAACUGAGACACGGUCCAGACUCCUACGGGAGGCAGCAGUGAGGAAUAUUGGGCAAUGGAGGAAACUCUGACCCAGCCAUGCCGCGUGAGUGAAGAAGGUUUUCGAAUUGUAAAGCUCUUUCGGAUGGGACGAUGAUGACGGUACCAUCUAAAGAAGCCCCGGCAAACUUCGUGCCAGCAGCCGCGGUAAUACGAAGGGGGCAAGCGUUGUUCGGAAUUACUGGGCGUAAAGGGUGUGUAGGCGGAUUUGUAAGAUAGUGGUGAAAUACCUGAGCUCAACUUAGGAAUUGCCAUUAUAACUAUAGAUCUGGAGUGACAGAGAGGAUAUUGGAAUACCCAGUGUAGAGGUGAAAUUCGUAGAUAUUGGGUAGAACACCAGUGGCGAAGGCGAGUAUCUGGCUGUCAACUGACGCUGAGGCACGAAAGCAUGGGGAUCAAACAGGAUUAGAUACCCUGGUAGUCCAUGCUGUAAACGAUGAAUGCUAGUUGUCGGCAAAAGCCGGUGACGCAGUUAACGCGAUAAGCAUUCCGCCUGGGGAGUACGGUCGCAAGAUUAAAACUCAAAGGAA